UACGAAGGUGGCAAGCGUUACUCGGAAUUACUAGGCGUAAAGGGCAGGUAGGUGGUUUGAAAAGUCUGUUGUGAAAGCUCUUGGCUUAACUGAGAGAGGUCAACAGAAACUUUCAGGCUUGAGUGUGGGAGAGGGUACUGGAAUUCCCGGUGUAGCGGUGAAAUGCGCAGAGAUCGGGAGGAACACCAAUGGCGAAAGCAGGUACCUGGACCAUUACUGACACUAAGCUGCGAAAGCUAGGGGAGCAAACAGG
rnacentral:rRNA from 1 species